AUCAUAUCCCAUAUCACUCUGCAGCCCAAGUUACCCACUGAAGCUAAGCAGGGCUGAGCCUGGUCAGUACCUGGAUGGGAGACCACAUGGGAGAGCAAGGUUGCUGUUGGUG
rfam:Danio rerio chromosome 19, GRCz11 reference primary assembly.